GUCUUAAAGUUAUUAAUUUUAAGUCUAAUCUGCCCAAUGAAAAAUUUUAAUGGCUGCAGUAUAUUAACUGUACAAAGGUAGCAUAAUAAUUUGUUUUUUAAUUAAAAACUAGAAUGAAUGAUUGAAUGAGAUAAAUACUUUUUCAAUAAAAUUAAUUAAAUUUUUUAUUUGAGUAAAAAAACUUAAAUUUUAUAUAAAGACGAUAAGACCCUAUAGAAUUUUAUUUAUUUAAUAAAUAAAAUUUUUAUUAUAUAAAUUUAAUUGGGGUAAUUAAAAAAUUUAAUUAAUUUUUUUUUAAAAAUACAUUUAUAUAUGAAAUUUAAAUCUUAAUUUUUAAAUUAAAAAAAUUAAUUACCUUAGGGAUAACAGCAUAAUUUUUUUUGAAAGUUCUUAUUUAUAAAAAAGAUUAU
rnacentral:rRNA from 1 species